AUUUAAUUUGGCAACAGAUGACUCUAUGAAGUUUUCAUCUUCAAACAUCAAAUAUCCAUUAGGAAUCAUUUUGCUGUUGGUUUGGCUGUCCAAAAAAAGGCUGUAAAGACGCUUCAGAAUAAUAAGUGAGAAGAAACCAAAUAAUCAAAAACCCCUUUACCUGUGUCCAAAACAUGUUGUUACAAACUAAACAAAAAGCCACUUUCUGACAGACAAAAAUGCUGAAGAAUCAACUACAAUGUGUCUUUUUAAGCUAUACAGUUAAAUAAAAAACUGAACUUUAUUUAGAAUCCUUUAACAAUGAAACUGAAAUUUAACAGAUACAAGAGAAAAUGUCUCAAUUUGCAAGUCAACAUUUCUCACAUACAUUGUAUCAUUUAAAAAGGUAGAUUUUUGAAUUUCCACAACCAAAAAAGUUCAUUUAAAUUUAAUAUUUAAAAUGAGAAAAUUUAAAGAAACACUCGACUGCUUUAAAAAAAACUAUACUGAGAUUAUUUUGACACUGUUCUUAAAACAGUUACAUCUGUUGGGCAUAGAAAGGAAUUUGGAGAAAUAGAUGUCUUAAUAGAUUAGUAAUCUUAAGUAAUAAAAUGUAGUAUUAUGCUUCUAGGUCUGUGGUUCAAAUCUUGCCUAAUUCUAUAGAAACUGGUCACUUACAUGAAAUAAAUUUGAGUCUUAAUGCAGUUUCUACUGAAAAGGAGUUCACUGCACAUAAGUCACCAUCAUAAAUGACAUUAGUUGUAGAGGUGCCACAGACUGAAUGGGUGAAGAAACAUUACUUAGUUUGUCCUGUAGAAAAGCAAUGAGAUACACCAAUAGAGUAAUAUGAAUAAACCUAGACCGCUUUUGCCUGUCUGGGUUUGUUGUUGUUGUUUUUUUUCCAUUUUAUUUCUGGAAUAAACUCUUCCAAUCUUCA